GUGUCAGCAGCCGCGGUAAAACGUAGGUACCGAGCGUUAUCCGGAUUUACUGGGCGUAAAGCGCGUUCAGGCGGUUUGGCAAGUCGGGCAUGAAAUCUCUCGGCUCAACCGGGAGAGGUUGUCCGAUACUGCUGGACUUGUGGGCAGUAGAGGGUGGUGGAAUUCCGGGUGUAGUGGUGAAAUGCGUAGAUAUCCGGAGGAACACCAGUGGCGAAAGCGGCCACCUGGACUGUACCUGACGCUGACACGCGAAAGCUAGGGGAGCGAACGGGAUUAGAAACCCCGGUAGUCCUAGCUAUAAACGAUGUUGACUAGGUGUCGACGGUCUAAACCCCGCCGGUGCCGGAGCAAACGCAUUAAGUCAACCGCCUGGGGACUACGGCCGCAAGGUUAAA
rnacentral:rRNA from 1 species